AGGCCUUAACACAUGCCUCCAAAUUACAAAACAAGAUUUACUACUAGGUACACAUCGGAAGAAGCAGGUGUUAAUACCACUGGAACUUUGCCUUGCAAAUUAUUUACAUAAUCUGGAUAUGACUCAUUGCUCUUGGUGUAAUCCCCAAGGACCAGAAGCUCUACUUUAAAGGUUAUUUUGAAGAUUGACUACGAUUACAUAUGUAAAGCUUCUUAAAACAGUGCCCAGCAAAUGGAAAAAGAAACAUAAGAAGGAACUGAAGUAUGGGAAUCUUUUCAACCAUUACAAUGCUUCAAGGUAUAUUUAUUUUCCAUUCUUUCACAAAGGGACAACUGUAUAACACCCAGAAAGCAAUAUGCCACAGAGAUGGCUGCUGAUGCAGGAAGACCCUGCCUGAUUAGGUGGGGGCAGCAGCGGUAUUGGCACGAGUGACUGGCACUGUGUAGGCUAUAUCCAAUACGUCUGGAAACCUCAUUGGCUCUACCUUCAAAAUACAUUCAGAAUUCAGGAAGUUCCUCGGGCAAAAAGGAAUAUGAGACCAACCAUAAACCUGGAUCUACAUCAAGAAAUGAAGAGUAUGGGAAAUGGAGUAAAACAAGAGUUUUGGAAGUAAGAUCAUUAUCCUCGUGGCAUGGCUGCUUGGUAGCAGGUCAAGAUUUUGUUCAUGACUCAUCAGAAGAAAUAAUGAGGAGGUGACUAAACUUAAAGUCCAGAGGAAACCAGAAAAAAGCAGCAGCAGCCAUGAGUCCACCAGGAAACAAAGCUUUCCCUGAAGAACCUCCGAGCAGACUUCUCUGUACAGCUCAUUUGUCAGACAAGCCAGAUGACUGACCCAGCUGCAGGGGAGACCAGAAAGUGGGGAACAGGAUCGCUAUGAUUGUAUUACCCCAUCAAGAUCCAUUGCCUCAAGAUGGGCACAUUGGCACCUCAAAAAACCAAGAAGAAAGUGAAAACAGAUAUUAAGUAAUUUGCAACAUCUGCAACAAACACCAUCCGCCUUCCAAUCACACAUCAGGUUAAGUCUACUCUACCCCUUAAAUACCUCUAAAUUGCAUCUCCUUUAUCACUACCCCUACUUUAACCUAAAUUGCUAUCAUCUAUGCUCAGGAUCAGAGCAGCAGACCUUCAUUGUUUCUCUGCUGUAUAAUACUGUUUCUUCCUUCCAAUUUCUUCUCCAACUUUAUCCAGUGUGAUCUUUCAUGGAGUUAAAUCUGAACUUGUUAUUCAUUCGGCUUAAACCACUUCAGCGGCAAACACCAGGCUAUUUCUUUCCUCUGCUCCUCUGGUCCCCCCUGCAUAGUACUUGCUUUACCAACCACUCCCACUUACCCACAUGUAGCUAAUUCCUAAUUAUCCUUUAAGGUUUUCUCUCACUCUUCCCAUCACAUUGCUCAUCUCUCAGCUAAGGUAGGUGCAACUUCAUGUGUUCUCAAAUAGUGUAUUUGUAUUGUAUAAUUGUUCUGUUUAAUACGAUUCUGUAUUAUCAUUGUCUCAUAUCGUUGUCAUCGCUACUGAAUAGAGUUUCUUUAAAAUUAAAGCUUUUGUUUCAUUCACAGCCGGGUCCGUACCACCCAGCACAAUACCUGGCACAUAAGCAUUCUGUUAAUGCUUAUUGAAUAACAGGUUGAUUGAUUGAAGAAGAAUACUUGCAUAUUGUUGUUAAUUGGGUAGACACUUGUAAUAAAAGAAUGAACAAGAGACAGCAUAACAAAAUUACGGAGUGUGGAAUCUGGAUCUUUACAGACUAUCUCCACAAGGUCCGCUCUGUGACCUUCAACUAGUUAAGUUAAUCUCUUUGUGCAAAUUUCCUCAUAUGUAAAAUGUAGAUAAUGAUAAUACUAAAAAGACUGUAAUAAGAAUUUUAAAAGUUAAUGCUUAUAAUUGUAAGUAAUGUAUAGAGUAAUACCUGACACAUGAUAAAUGUUACAAAUGUUUUUUAAAUAAGUAAAUAAGACAGUCAUGAUUCCUGUCCCCACAGAACUUACAGUAGAGGUCAGUGCUGUCCAAUAGAAAUAUAAGGUGAGCCACAUAUAUAAUUUAAAAUUUUCUGAUAGCCAGAUUAAAAGUGAUUAGAUUACAAUUUAAAUUAAUUUUAAGAAUUUAUUUAAACUAACACAUCAAAAUAUUAUCAUUUUAACAUGUAAUCAAUUUCUUAGAGUUAUUAAUGAGAUACUUUGCAUUUUUUAAUUUUGUAUAAGUCUUUGAAAUCCAGAGACUGUUUUAUACUUACAGCACAUCUCAAUUCACAUGCUUAAUUUUCAUCUGUUACUGAAACUAUAUUUAGAUUGAAUGAACUUACAGUUGAAAAAGUAGAUACAUAUCCAAGUUGUUCUAAAUAUACUUAAUAAUUUUUCAAUCAAUGACCCAGUCAUUUUAAAAUUUAAAUUUAUUAAAAUUAAAUAAAAUUAGGAGUUAACUUCCUCAGUCACGCUAGUUAUUCUUAGUGUUUAACAGCUACAUAUUGGACAGCACAGGACCUGAGAAAAAUAUGAGUAAGCGGACAAUUAUAGAAUGUGAUGAAAUGCUAUGUUAGGGCAAGAAUAGAGUGCUCUGGGAGCACAUAGUAGGGGUGCUGACAUAGCUUGGGCAGACGGAAUUUAUGAAGGGGAUUUUCCUGGAGAAUAUGCUGUCUGUUCUGAGAUCUCAAGGAUAAGAAGGAGCUAGUAGGUGAUAAAGAGGAAAGAGCAUCUGACAGAAGAAAUGGUGCUGGAUGAGGGGAAAUGUAGCAUUUUCACAGACCUGAGCAUGUUUCAGAGUGACAAAUGCAGAGUGUACAUGUGUGUGUAACAAGUGGGAAAUGCGUUAGAAGGGAAGACGUGGAAAAGGGAGCAGUUGAGAGGGAGGCUAGACAAGUAAGCAAGGGAGGAAAUCAUGAGAGGUUUUGUGACACAUGUGAAGGGGGCCAGACUGUCCAGAAGGCAAGGAGGAGCCACUGAAGGAUUUAAACAGGGUAGUGACAUGAUCACCAUAUGCUUAUUAAAGGUCAUUCUGGCUACAGGAUGAAAAAUGUUUAGAAGACAGAAACCACGGCUGGCACCUCAUGCCCAUCAGGAUGGCUACUAUCAAAAAACAGAAAAUAACAAGAGCUGGUGAGGAGUUGGAAAAGUUGGCACCCUUGUGCUUUGUUGGUAGGAAUGUAAAUUGGUGCCACCACUAUGGGAGAGGGUAUGGAAGUUCAUUAAAAAUUAAAUUAGAAGCAUAUACCCCAAAGUAUGGAAAGCAGCUCUCGAAGAGCUAUUUGUGCACUCGUGUUCAUAGCAGCAUUAUUCACAAAAGGUAAAAUAUGGAAGCAACCCAAGUUGCUCAUCCACUGAUGGAAGAGUGGAUAAGCAAAAUGUGAUAGAUCUACAGUGGAAUAUUACUAGGUCUUGAAAAGGAAGGAAAUUCUAACACAUGCUACAGCAUGGAUGAAACUUGAGGACAUUAUGCUCAGUGAAAUAAACCAAUCACAAAAAGACAAAUACUAUAUGAUUCCACUCACAGGAGGCAUCUUGAGUAGUCAAAAUCAUAGAGACGGAAAGUAGAAUGGUGGUUGCCAGGGGCAGGGUGGGGAGAAUACAGAGGUGUUGUUAAAUGUGUGUGGAAUUUCAGUUUUGCAAGAUGAGAAGAGUUCUGGAGAUUGAUUGUGGUGAUGGUUGCACAACAAUAGAAAUGUACUUAAAUGCCACUGGAUUGAACACUUGAAAAAGAUUAAGAUGAUAAAUUUUAUGUUAUGCGUAUUUUACCACAAUAAAAAAGUGGCUGGACAUCAAGUUAAAAUAUGGUAUCACUGUGGUGCAGUCAAGAGAUAAACAUGGGAGCUGAAAUGGGGUAAGAGAAAUAUGGACAGAAAGAAGUGGGUUGAUUUCAAGGAUAUUAGGGGUACAAUUAACAAGAAUUUAUUGGUGAUGGAUUUUAAUCAAGUGUAAGGGAGAGUCAGGAGGCAAGCUACGUCCCAGAUUUCUAGCGUGAAAAACUGGUGUGGAGAGUGAUGAUACUGGUUGAGAUAGGAAACCAAGAGGAGACAUAGAUUUGGCUGGGGCUGGGGGUGAGGAGAAAUGGGUUCACCUUCAGAUACGUGGAUUUUCAGUUGGUUGCAAUGAACCCAAGGGGAACUGUCUAGCAAGGAGUUGGGCAUAUAGGUCAUAAUUUCUGGAGACAGAUCUUAGAGCCACUCUCAAAUGGAGGAUAAUGAAAGCUGUAGGAGUGGAUGAUGUCCAGGGAGUAUGCCCUGCACAUUUAUGUUGUCUGCCAACACAUUUGGUUUUCUUUUGAGUAUUUUGCACUUCCUCACCAACAGUCUGUGUGAUUUGAGUAGGGGUCCCUCUCUGGCCCCAAGGAUAGAAUAGGAGACCCAGAUCUAAGUCAAGUAGAAGAUCUCAUACUCUUGGCCACAGUGAUUGGGGUAUAGGAGUGGCAGCCUAAGCUAGUAAAAUAAGUGAGAACCUAAAAACUUGUACAGGAGCUACUGAUAAAGAAGGCCUAUUCUGUUUGAUCCCAUUGGACUAGAACCUGGAAAAAUAAGAAACUAGAGCUAGCAGCCAUCUUGCUACCAUGAGAGUGACAGCCACUGGAGGUCAUCACAUAGAGCCUGAGAAGAAAACCAACACAUAGGUUUGAGGUGAAGAAAAGCUGAGUUCUUUUUAUGUCAUUUCAGCCAUGAAUCCAGCCAUGGCUGAAAUAAGACCUACCCUGGACAUUUCAAAAUGUGAGCUAAAAAACAAUGCCUCUUUUCCCUUAAGCUAGAUUGAGUUGAGUUUUCGGUAUCUGUGUCAUAAUGAAUACAGGCAGUCCCCACUUUGCAUGGUAGUUCAGGACCAUAAAAAUAACUCUGCAAGCUGAAACCAUGCAGUGAUCUUAAUAAUCAAUAGGAAGAAUUACAAUUGGUCUGUGACCUUUAAAAUGUUUUAAUCAAAACGUUAAAAACUCUAUUUGGGGGAAUUGAAAAAAAUUAGUUUUAUAAUAUUUAGUACAUGAAAAUUUAAAACAUUAGAAAUAUUGAGAAUUUAAGUGUUUUAUUUCUUUGUACAAAACUUAUCAAAAGGAGUUUAAAUAGUCUUUGCCUUCUUAUCAUAUAACUUAAGAUACAGAGUGAGGGACUUCCCUGGUGGCGCAGUGGUUAAGAAUCCACCUGCCAGUGCAGGGGACACGGGUUCCAUCCCUGGUCCUGGAAGAUCCCACAUGCCACUGAGCAACUAAGCCCGUGUGCCACAACUACUGAGCCUGUUCUCUAUAGAGCCCGCGAGCCACAACUACUGAGCCCACGUGCUGCAACUACUGAAGCCUGCAUGUCUACAGUCUGUGCUCCACAACAAGAGAAGCCACCAUAAUGAGAAGCCCGUGCACCGCAACGAAGAGUAGCCCCCACUCACUGCAACUAGAGAAAGCCCACAUGCAGCAACGAAGACCCAACGCAGCCAAAAAUAAAAAUAAAUUAAUUAAUUAAUUUUAAAAGAAGAUACAGAGUAAACAUCUUUUCUAUGCCUUGGCAAAUUAUCAUACUCCUUACUAAGUUUGGAUCAGCUUCCAACAUUUUGUCUUUUGCACUUUCAGUGCUGUGAAAUAUCCCCAUGACUUCCUUUAAUAUGAAGGUUUUUGGGGGUUUUUUUUGCCAGUGUCACUUCCUCUGGGACAUCAUUCUUUUUGUCAACAGCCACUUUCCUCAUUUAUAUUAAUAUGUUCCCUUUAUGAAAUUUCUGUGGCUGCAUGUCUAGAGUCUCUGGAACAGUGACAGGCUCAACAUUCUCACAAUCAGCUAUUUCUCUCGUAACUUCAUUUGCCUUCAGUUCGAAUUCUGCAAAAUCGUGCCAAUUUCUGAAACAAUGAAAUCAGCCUUUACUGUCAGUAAAAGGUUCUUCUUCAGUCUUCUUGUAAUUACUGUUUUUUUCAGCGCAGCACCCAAAUUUAAUGUUUGGCCUAAAUGCUAGUUAAACUGAUUGGAUUUUUUCAUUACAGUCUUCAAUCCAAAGUAGAAGUAAAUUCUCUAUUUCCACCAUUAGCAGCUUCUUGUUCUGAAGGCAACUUAAACUAAACAAUAUUGAAGCCACUUUACCUUGUUUUUGAUUUAUCAGACUUUUUCAAUAUUGUUCAUUCAGUGGCUCCGUGCAGCCCAGGUCUCAUCCUGGCUUUAUUCUGCUGUCUCCAUUUUCAAAUCUAAUCACACCCAAUUUCACUUCUGCAUUAUCACUUUUAAUUUCUUUGCUGAACUUUCAUUUUUUUCUAUUAUUCAUUUUUGUUAAAUGUCAUACGAGUUUAUCACCAAGAGACAAGGAGACAACCCAACUACAGGCUUUGCUGUCUGUGCAUGAACUGAAUAACUGAUGUACAAUGGCAAUCACCAACAGACUUUGAAAGAAGUGAUGUGGUUGGUCACUGAUUAUGAAGCACGUCUGUUAUUUACGUAGGGAUUUGUGGAGCUAGCCGUGAAGUUUAUAUUUUAUGCAAUUACUCACAGUUAAUAUACUGUGUAACUGAAAUCUGAAGCAUGUUAUUGGGAGACUGGGUUAUUUAACUAAAUCGUGGUCAAUGACAUUGGUGCAUGUCAAACUCUUCAAAGCAAUGACUUCCUUACUACCCAACAGAGAUUGUAUAAGGAGAAAACAGAAGAAAGGAAGAAAGCCUAGGAGAGAACCCUGAGAAGAACCAAUAUUUAAUGGAUGGCAAAAGAAGAGAAACAUGCACAAUAACUUAUAAAGAGUGGCCAAAGAAGUAGUGGGAAAACCAGAAGCACGUGAUAUCACACAAGGCAAGAAAAGAGAUUGCAAUUGCAUUUGCCACUUCUUCUUUAAAUUGAGAUAAAACUUUCAUCCCAUAAAAUUCACCAUUUUAAAGUGUACAAUUCAGUAGUUUUUACUAUAUUCACAAAGUUGUGCAACCAUCAUUAUCUAAUUCUUAAAUAUUCUUAUCACGCCAAAAAUAAACCCUAUACCCAUUAGCAAUCACUUCCCAUUCUCUCCUCUUUCCAACUCCUGGAAUCUACUUUAUGUCUAUAUGGAUUUACCUGUUCUGGACAUUUUAUAUAAGUGGAAUUAUACAACAUAUGCCCUUUUGCAUAUGAUUUCUAUUGUAAUACCUUCAAGGUUUUUCCAUGUUGUAGCAUCUAUCAGUACUUAUUACUUUUUGUGGUUGAAUAAUAUUCUGUUGUGUGAACAUACCAUAUUUAUUUAUCCAUUCAUCAGGUGAUGGAAAUUUGAGUUGUUUCUACCUUUGGAGUAUUAUGAGUAAUGUUGUGACUAAUAUUUGUGUAAAAGUUUUUGUGUGAACAUAUGUUUUCAAUUUUCCUGGGGAUAUACCUAGGAAUAGAAUUGCUGGGCCAUAUGAUAACUCUAACGUCUUGAGAAACCACCAGACCAUUUCCACCAUUUUAUCUUCCAAGCAAAGUGUGAGGGUUCUUUCAGUUCUUUUUUUAAAAAAAGCUUAUAUAUUCAUAUUUCUUCUCAUUCUGCUUGUCUAGUUUCUCAUUUCAUUUCACCAAGCACAUUUCCUCCUUGCAUCUUUGACUUCCAUAUCCUACAUUUGAUAAA